GACGAACGCUGGCGGCGUGCUUAACACAUGCAAGUCGAACGCUGAAGACCUGGCUUUUGUUGGGUUGGAUGAGUGGCGAACGGGUGAGUAACACGUGAGUAACCUGCCCUCUUCUUUGGGAUAACGCCCGGAAACGGGUGCUAAUACUGGAUAUUCACUGAUCUUCGCAUGGGGGUUGGUGGAAAGGUUUGUUCUGGUGGGGGAUGGGCUCGCGGCCUAUCAGCUUGUUGGUGGGGUGAUGGCCUACCAAGGCUUUGACGGGUAGCCGGCCUGAGAGGGUGACCGGUCACAUUGGGACUGAGAUACGGCCCAGACUCAUACGGGAGGCAGCAGUGGGGAAUAUUGCACAAUGGGCGAAAGCAUGAUGCAGCGACGCCGCGUGAGGGAUGGAGGCCUUCGGGUUGUAAACCUCUUUCGCUAAUGGUCAAGCCGCAACUGUGGGUUGUGGUGAGGGUAGUGGGUAAAGAAGCGCCGGCUAACUACGUG
rnacentral:rRNA from 1 species